rnacentral:rRNA from 1 species
AGAACUUAGCAGAGAUGCUUUGGUGCCUUCGGGAACUCUGAGACAGGUGCUGCAUGGCUGUCGUCAGCUCGUGUUGUGAAAUGUUGGGUUAAGUCCCGCAACGAGCGCAACCCUUAUCCUUUGUUGCCAGCGGUCCGGCCGGGGACUCAAAGGAGACUGCCAGUGAUAAACUGGAGGAAGGUGGGGAUGACGUCAAGUCAUCAUGGCCCUUACGAGUAGGGCUACACACGUGCUACAAUGGCGCAUACAAAGAGAAGCGACCUCGCGAGAGCAAGCGGACCUCAUAAAGUGCGUCGUAGUCCGGAUUGGAGUCUGCAACUCGACUCCAUGAAGUCGGAAUCGCUAGUAAUCGUAGAUCAGAAUGCUACGGUGAAUACGUUCCCGGGCCUUGUACACACCGCCCGUCACACCAUGGGAGUGGGUUGCAAAAGAAGUAGGUAGCUUAACCUUCGGGAGGGCGCUUACCACUUUGUGAUUCAUGACUGGGGUGAAGUCGUAACAAGGUAAGCGUAGCGAG